AGAGCGAACGCUGGCGGCAGGCCUAACACAUGCAAGUCGAACGAACUCUUCGGAGUUAGUGGCGGACGGGUGAGUAACACGUGGGAACGUGCCUUUAGGUUCGGAAUAACUCAGGGAAACUUGUGCUAAUACCGAAUGUGCCCUUCGGGGGAAAGAUUUAUCGCCUUUAGAGCGGCCCGCGUCUGAUUAGCUUGUUGGUGGGGUAAUGGCCCACCAAGGCUACGAUCAGUAGCUGGUCUGAGAGGAUGACCAGCCACAUUGGGACUGAGACACGGCCCAAACUCCUACGGGAGCAGCAGUGGGGAAUCUUGCGCAAUGGGCGAAAGCCUGACGCAGCCAUGCCGCGUGUAUGAUGAAGGUCUUAGGGAUUUAGGUAAAAUACCUUUACGACCCGG
rnacentral:rRNA from 1 species